rnacentral:misc_RNA from 1 species
AAGUCGUAACAAGGUUUCCGUAGGUGAACCUGCGGAAGGAUCAUUACCACGUUCCAAACGAACAAACCAACGCGAACUGUGACUCUCUCCCAAUCCUCAAGAAUGAGUGGCAGUGGCCUGGCGAGCGUGUGUGGAGACUCCGCAAGGAGUCUGCGUGCGCCGGUCACUACUGUUGAGCCUCGGCUUGACGACGCUGUAUCUUUGUGCGAUUGGCUAUCUGUCUGCUCGGGUCUCCACUCCGACUCGAGUAUGAUGGGCUUUUUCUAUACAAACACUAUUCACCUCUUUUUGCUAGUUGACUUUAUCUGUUGUUUAAAGCUCUCGAGCUUUGAGCACGCGUUUAGUUAUUUAAACGAUUAAAUACAACUCUUAGCAAUGGAUGUCUCGGUUCUC